GGUGGUGAAGUCGCUGG
rnacentral:misc_RNA from 1 species